ACCGCUCCCGAUCCGGGCUGCGGCGAAGCUGCGGGUGCGGGGAGCGCUCGGCACCGCUCGGUGAGGGGAGAACGGAGACAGCCGGGCUGGGGCGCCCGGGGGAGGGCACCGCUCCGGGGCCGCUGCAGCUUUACAGUAUCGGAUCUUGUAAGAGCCGCGCGUUUGGCAUCUGCAGCGCGGCAGCGGUUCAGACAGUGAGUGUGCUGGGAGCUGCCGCAGCAUUGUGUCAGUGGGGCCAGAUCUUGAAGAAAUCUGCCUGGGAGCUUUCAAGGGAGAAACCACAACAUGAAGGAGUGGGACGUGCUGCAAGCAUCUGAAGAGCUCUUUAGAUGACUUCAGAGCAUGAAGCACAUCUGCUGGCUCAGUGUGCUGGUGUGGCAGCAUCGAGACCUGCAGCUGAGACAGACUUCCUCAUAUACCAGCUGUUAGAUGUAACACCUCACAGAGAGGGCUGAAAAUUAAAAACAGAGAAGCUGCCAACUCCAUGGUGUCAAUUCAAUAAA